rnacentral:rRNA from 1 species
UACGUAGGGGGCAAGCGUUGUCCGGAUUUAUUGGGCGUAAAGAGCUCGUAGGCGGUUCCGUAAGUCGUGAAGUCAAAUCUCUGGGCUCAACCCAGAAUCGCUUCCGAUACUGCGGUGACUGGAGUCCGGUAGGGGAGUGUGGAAUUCCUGGUGUAGCGGUGAAAUGCGCAGAUAUCAGGAGGAACACCAAUUGCGAAGGCAGCUCGCUGGGACGUUACUGACGCUGAGACGCGAAAGCGUGGGGAGCAAACAGG